rnacentral:misc_RNA from 1 species
GGCCGCCACUAUUAUACUCGAUAUGACUAUGAGAAUGUUGAUGCAAGUGCAGCAAAGGAACUAAUGGCACACUUGGUUAAGCUGCAGCCUUCCCUUGGUGAAGUUAACGAGAUUGCGAAGGGGAUAAGAACAGAUGUGUCAAAAGUGGUCCAUGCUGAUGAAUUUGAAUACAAAGACCCUGUUGAUGGUUCGAUCUCAAGGCACCAGGGUAUUCGAUAUUUGUUUGAGGAUGG